CACCUAUGAAUAUCAUAUGCUUCUUCAAAAUCUUACAGUGCAGGCCUUGAACAAUGCAAUUGUACCCUCUUCAGUGCAAGCUACUUUCCCUUACAUAUUUGCUGUUAGCAAGUACUUACAGCCUGGAACUUUUGAUCUUGUGGGUAUGAUGAUCUAUGAUAUAGC